GCGGCGUGCUUAACACAUGCAAGUCGAACGAAAAUACCAAGCUUGCUUGGUUGAUUAGUGGCGAACGGGUGAGUAACACGUGAGUAACCUGCCCCUUACUUUCCUGGAUAACUGCUCGAAAGGGUAGCUAAUACGGGAUAUUCUGACCUGCCUGCAUGGGUUGGUUUGGAAAGGUUGUUUUUCUGGUAAGGGAUGGGCUCGCGGCCUAUCAGCUUGUUGGUGGGGUGAUGGCCUACCAAGGCUUUGACGGGUAGCCGGCCUGAGAGGGUGGACGGUCACACUGGGACUGAGAUACGGCCCAGACUCCUACGGGAGGCAGCAGUGGGGAAUAUUGCACAAUGGGCGCAAGCCUGAUGCAGCGACGCCGCGUGAGGGAUGAAGGCCUUCGGGUUGUAAACCUCUUUCGUCAGGGAACAAGGCACUGCUUUUUUGGUGGUGUUGAGGGUACCUGGAUAAGAAGCGCCGGCUAACUACGUGCCAGCAGCC
rnacentral:rRNA from 1 species